AUGUUUGCUAUUGAGCUUUCCAAUGUGCAAAGGUUCGGCCCAGUCUUGGUCAUGCUCCAUCCUAUGUUCCUCUACGGCACGGCAGAGAUGACUCUCCGAAUCCAUCAGGUCUUUCCUUCACUUGGAAUACACCAGGUCUUUAUCUCAUGGGAUGUUUUACUCUGCGGUCAGGUCCCUGCAAAAUCGGGCCAUGUAUUGAAAAGAACUACGGGCAAUGUGGCCCCUCGAAGAAAUGUUGUAAACGUGCCAUAAACAACACUAUGACGUGUUAUAUAUCUGGAGGCCACUGCUCGGUGGGGCGUUGCUUUCCUCCUUCAGUUGCUGAUGGGAAAUGUGGCAGAGGUAGUCCAUGCUGUUUCAGGUAAGAAAGAGAAGCUGCUCUCUUGGCCAGCUCCUAAUUAUUUUGAGUUCAGUCCACGUUCUGUUAAAGGCUUCUGCUCUUAGGACAGACUUGGAAAGAAAGUAAAUUUGCUUUCUUCUACUAUGUAGAUGCCAGCCUCCAUUGUUUGCAGGUAUCUCACACAGCUAAUCCCAUCGAUAUCCCAAUAUUUACUUUAAUUACUGCUCGUAAAUCGAACUUCUAAAAAAUCAUUUGUGCAGGUGGAAUUUGUUAGCAUUUCCACCCCCCAGAGGUCCGGAUUGUCUCUGCUUCUUAAUUUGUGGGAGAAGAUCCUCCACCCAAUGUGAGAUCUUUCUUGAUUUUUUCAUGAAAAAGGCUUGCCUCUCAAAGCAGGAGAUCUCAAAAGCUACCAAGUCAGAGGAGAUGCUUGGUGCUACUCCCCAUAGAAACUUUGUAGAGUGAUGAGGGGGACGAAGGGGUGGUGAAGGGAAAUGGAGAGGUAGAGGCAAAUAAUAGAAUCAUAGACAGGUGAGGUUUGAAGGGACCUACAAGGCCAUCAAGUCCAACCCCCUACUCAGUGCAGGAAUAUAUCAAAGCAGAUCUCCUAAUACAAAAUGGCACUACUUAUACUAUGCAUAAGGAUGAUAGAAAAUAAAUCCCUUAACAAGAGGAGAACA
rnacentral:lncRNA from 1 species